rnacentral:rRNA from 1 species
CGGGUUAAUAUUCCCGUACUUCUUAUAAUUGCGAUGGGGGGACGGAGAAGGCUAGGUGGGCCUGGCGACGGUUGUCCAGGUUCAAGGGUGUAGGCUGUAAUCUUAGGCAAAUCCGGGAUUACACUAGGCUGAGACCCGAUGUCGAGCCACUACGGUGGUGAAGUCAUUGAUGCCAUGCUUCCGGGAAAAGCCUCUAAGCUUCAGAUUAUAAGAAAUCGUACCCCAAACCGACACAGGUGGUCGGGUAGAGAAUACCAAGGCGCUUGAGAGAACUCGGGUGAAGGAACUAGGCAAAAUGGUACCGUAACUUCGGGAGAAGGUACGCUGCCGGCGGUGACGGGACUUGCUCCCUCAGCUGCUGGCAGUCGCAGAUACCAGGUGGCUGCAACUGUUUAUUAAAAACACAGCACUGUGCAAAAUCGAAAGAUGACGUAUACGGUGUGACGCCUGCCCGGUGCCGGAAGGUUAAUUGAUGGGGUUAGACUU